GAUGAACGCUAGCUACAGGCUUAACACAUGCAAGUCGAGGGGUAACGAGAGGAAAGCUUGCUUUCCUUGUCGACGACCGGCGCACGGGUGAGUAACGCGUAUCCAACCUGCCCCCAACUAGGGAAUAACCUUGCGAAAGUAAGACUAAUACCCUAUAAUUUCCUCAGAUGUCAUCUGACGAGGAAUAAAGAUUUAUCGGUUGUGGAUGGGGAUGCGUCUGAUUAGCUUGUUGGCGGGGUAACGGCCCACCAAGGCAACGAUCAGUAGGGGUUCUGAGAGGAAGGUCCCCCACAUUGGAGCUGAGACACGGUCCAAACUCCUACGGGAGGCAGCAGUGAGGAAUAUUGGUCAAUGGGCGGAAGCCUGAACCAGCCAAGUAGCGUGCAGGAUGACGGCCCUAUGGGUUGUAAACUGCUUUUAUACAGGAAUAAAGUUAGCCACAUGUGGUUAUUUGUAGGUACUGUAUGAAUAAGGACCGGCUAAUUCCGUGCCAGCCGCCGCAGUAA
rnacentral:rRNA from 1 species